UUCAUUAUUGUCGGGGAAUAUUCGUUUGGUCGUGGAAUAUUCUUUUUGUCGGGAAUCUCCGUACGACGGCGCAUUCAUUUGUGGGCCCCAUAACGAAAAACGGUUGGAUGAAGGAAAACGACAAAGAUUGAGUUUUAUAAAUAACGACGUAAAUUGUUACCGUUAACACUGUUGGGUUACCUGGUGGUUAAAAUACAGUAAUACGCGUGGUUGCACAGUAGCACACGGUAUUGCACAGUAUUAUUGAAUUAUUGAUCCUUACGUAAGAAGGCACUACUCAAUAAUUGUUACAGUAGUUACUGUUCAAUAUUAUAUUUUAUUGAUUCAAUAAUUGCUGCGUUGAUAUUUUGUAUUGCUGUUGUUUCAAUAAUUGUCAUUACACAGUAUUUUCCAUUAUCAAAUCAAUAAUUCAUAUUAUUUGAAUAAUAUUAUCAGAUAACAUUAUUG
rnacentral:lncRNA from 1 species